UUUUGUAUUGUGUUGAUCAUAUUUAAUAGACAUUCUACAUCAAAUACUAUUUGGAUAUAUUACUGAUUAGAUCUCUUUUUAUCGGAAACUCAACACUAGAGUGACCAAGAGCACAAAGGAAUCGGUGAUCAUUUAGUAACACGCUUUUGUCUCUGUGAAGACUAAGAGAUUCAGAAGCAUUCAUUUUUUUUCUCUUUCAGUUGCUCCCAUUCGAAGUCAUCCCAGUGGAUCACCCGUCCACAUAUUUUGAUUCUGGCACAAGUUUUACACCAGAUGCCCUUCCUGAUGCAACCCUCCCCAUUUACCAGGCUUGGGCCCAUCACUGAGAGUGCUCUGGCCCACGCAACCUUCCAGUAGCUAAGGUUGGUUCCCUGACCGGGAAUCAAACCUGGGCCACGGCGGAUGCUAGUCACUAGUCCAUCAGGGAACCUCCAGAAGCACCUCAUUACAGAAGGAUAAAAGAACCACAGGAUGAAGUGCCUUUGCAAUUUUGUAAGAUCCAAACUGGAUACUUGAAGACUGAAAAAAAACAGGCGUGAAACCCGAUGUGGUCUUCUGCUGUUGUAGCUCAUCCACCUCAAGACCCUGUGUGUGAAAAUCCCAAGGGAUUAGCAGUUUCUGAAAUAUUCAAACCAGCCCAUCUGGUACCAACAACCAUGCCACAGUAAAAGUCAAACAAAACACAUUUUCCCCCAUUCUGAUGUUUGAUGUGAACAUUAACUGAAGCGCUUGACCUGUGGCUGCAUGAUUUUAUGCACUGUGCUGCUGCCACAUGAUUGGCUGACUGGAUUAUAUGAAUGACCAUGGGUACCAUUAAAGUGGAGGGUUCAGAGUUUGCUAUUCUUCUGGAACUGUGCGACAAGGCUGAGCACUUGCUCCGACGCUGUGAUGACUUUGUUGUGCAAGUAGGCUUUGCUGUUGACGCCAGUCUCCUGAAGGAAGUAACGAUAGUUGACCA